rnacentral:misc_RNA from 1 species
UCAAACUUGGUCAUUUAGAGGAAGUAAAAGUCGUAACAAGGUUUCCGUAGGUGAACCUGCGGAAGGAUCAUUAUAGAGAGUUUUGUUUUUUUUUUUUUUUUAAAAAAAGAAAAAAAAAAAUUCCAAACCCUUUUGUUUUUUUUCCAAAAACUUUUUGUUGCUUUGGUAAAGGGGUUUUUUCCCCCUUACCAAAGGAAAAUUUAAAACUCUGAUUUUUUAUAAAGUGGUCUGAAAAAAUUUUUUGAAUUAAAAAUUAAAACUUUCAACAACGGAUCUCUUGGUUCUGGCAUCGAUGAAGAACGCAGC